rnacentral:rRNA from 1 species
CCCGCUGAACUUAAGCAUAUCAAUAAGCGGAGGAAAAGAAACCAACAGGGAUUGCCUUAGUAACGGCGAGUGAAGCGGCAAAAGCUCAAAUUUGAAAUCUGGCUUCCAUUUUUGGGGCCCGAGUUGUAAUUUGUAGAGGAUGCUUUGGGUGUGGCUGCGGUCUAAGUCCCCUGGAACGGGGCAUCAUAGAGGGUGAGAAUCCCGUCUGGGACCGCUAGCCACGUCUAUGUAAAGCUCCUUCGACGAGUCGAGUUGUAUGGGAAUGCAGCUCUAAAUGGGUGGUAAAUUUCAUCUAAAGCUAAAUAUUGGCCAGAGACCGAUAGCGCACAAGUAGAGUGAUCGAAAGAUGAAAAGCACUUUGAAAAGAGAGUUAAACAGCAUGUGAAAUUGUUGAAAGGGAAGCGCUUGCGACCAGACUCGGCCGCGAUUGUUCAGCCGGCUUUGUGGCCGGUGCACUCUUUUGCGGUCGAGCCAGCGUCGGUUCUGACGGUUGGUUAAAGGCUUUCGGAAUGUGUCGUCUCUCGGGGCGUCUUAUAGCCGGGGGUGCAAUGCGGCCUGUUGGGACCGAGGAACGCGCUUCGGCACGGACGCUGGCAUAAUGGUCGUAAGCGACCCGUCUUGAAACACGG